rnacentral:rRNA from 1 species
CAGUAGCCGCGGUAAUACGGAGGGUGCAAGCGUUAAUCGGAAUUACUGGGCGUAAAGCGCACGCAGGCGGUCUGUCAAGUCGGAUGUGAAAUCCCCGGGCUCAACCUGGGAACUGCAUUCGAAACUGGCAGGCUAGAGUCUCGUAGAGGGGGGUAGAAUUCCAGGUGUAGCGGUGAAAUGCGUAGAGAUCUGGAGGAAUACCGGUGGCGAAGGCGGCCCCAUGGACAAAGACUGACGCUCAGGUGCGAAAGCGUGGGGAGCAAACAGGAUUAGAUACCCGCGUAGUCCCUGUCUCUUUACA